rnacentral:rRNA from 1 species
GUGCGUGGCGGAGCUACCAUGCAAGUCGAGCGGUAGCACAGAGAGCUUGCUCUCGGGUGACGAGCGGCGGACGGGUGAGUAAUGUCUGGGAAACUGCCUGAUGGAGGGGGAUAACUACUGGAAACGGUAGCUAAUACCGCAUAAUGUCGCAAGACCAAAGUGGGGGACCUUCGGGCCUCAUGCCAUCAGAUGUGCCCAGAUGGGAUUAGCUAGUAGGUGGGGUAACGGCUCACCUAGGCGACGAUCCCUAGCUGGUCUGAGAGGAUGACCAGCCACACUGGAACUGAGACACGGUCCAGACUCCUACGGGAGGCAGCAGUGGGGAAUAUUGCACAAUGGGCGCAAGCCUGAUGCAGCCAUGCCGCGUGUGUGAAGAAGGCCUUCGGGUUGUAAAGCACUUUCAGCGGGGAGGAAGGCGGUGAGGUUAAUAACCUUGUCGAUUGACGUUACCCGCAGAAGAAGCACCGGCUAACUCCGUGCCAGCAGCCGCGGUAAUACGGAGGGUGCAAGCGUUAAUCGGAAUUACUGGGCGUAAAGCGCACGCAGGCGGUCUGUCAAGUCGGAUGUGAAAUCCCCGGGCUCAACCUGGGAACUGCAUUCGAAACUGGCAGGCUAGAGUCUUGUAGAGGGGGGUAGAAUUCCAGGUGUAGCGGUGAAAUGCGUAGAGAUCUGGAGGAAUACCGGUGGCGAAGGCGGCCCCCUGGACAAAGACUGACGCUCAGGUGCGAAAGCGUGGGGAGCAAACAGGAUUAGAUACCCUGGUAGUCCACGCCGUAAACGAUGUCGAUUUGGAGGUUGUGCCCUUGAGGCGUGGCUUCCGGAGCUAACGCGUUAAAUCGACCGCCUGGGGAGUACGGCCGCAAGGUUAAAACUCAAAUGAAUUGACGGGGGCCCGCACAAGCGGUGGAGCAUGUGGUUUAAUUCGAUGCAACGCGAAGAACCUUACCUGGUCUUGACAUCCACAGAACUUUCCAGAGAUGGAUUGGUGCCUUCGGGAACUGUGAGACAGGUGCUGCAUGGCUGUCGUCAGCUCGUGUUGUGAAAUGUUGGGUUAAGUCCCGCAACGAGCGCAACCCUUAUCCUUUGUUGCCAGCGGUUAGGCCGGGAACUCAAAGGAGACUGCCAGUGAUAAACUGGAGGAAGGUGGGGAUGACGUCAAGUCAUCAUGGCCCUUACGACCAGGGCUACACACGUGCUACAAUGGCAUAUACAAAGAGAAGCGACCUCGCGAGAGCAAGCGGACCUCAUAAAGUAUGUCGUAGUCCGGAUUGGAGUCUGCAACUCGACUCCAUGAAGUCGGAAUCGCUAGUAAUCGUAGAUCAGAAUGCUACGGUGAAUACGUUCCCGGGCCUUGUACACACCGCCCGUCACACCAUGGGAGUGGGUUGCAAAAGAAGUAGGUAGCUUAACCUUCGGGAGGGCGCUACCACUUUGGAUCAGUCGG